AGUGAACGCUGGCGGUAGGCCUAACACAUGCAAGUCGAACGGCAGCACAGUAAGAGCUUGCUCUUACGGGUGGCGAGUGGCGGACGGGUGAGGAAUACAUCGGAAUCUACUUUUUCGGGGGGGAUAACGUAGGGAAACUUACGCUAAUACCUCAUACGACCUACGGGUUAAAGCAGGGGAUCUUCGGACCUUGCGCGAUUGAAUGAGCCGAUGUCGGAUUAGCUAGUUGGCGGGGUAAAGGCCCACCAAGGCGACGAUCCGUAGCUGGUCUGAGAGGAUGAUCAGCCACACUGGAACUGAGACACGGUCCAGACUCCUACGGGAGGCAGCAGUGGGGAAUAUUGGACAAAGGGCGCAAGCCUGAUCCAGCCAUACCGCGUGGGUGAAGAAGGCCUUCGGGUUGUAAAGCCCUUUUGUUGGGAAAGAAAAGCAGCAGGUUAAUACCCCGCUGUUCUGACGGUACCCAAAGAAUAAGCACCGGCUAACUUCGUG
rnacentral:rRNA from 1 species